AAUGAACGUUGGCGGCGUGGAUUAGGCAUGCAAGUCGCGCGAAAACCGGUCUUCGGACCGGGGACAGCGGCGAAAGGGACAGUAAUGUGUAGAUAUCUGCCCCGAGGACCGGGAUAGCUGCGGGAAACUGCAGGUAAUACCGGAUAACAUCUCCGGAUCAAAGGUGUGAUUCCGCCUCGGGAUGAGUCUGCAUCCUAUUAGCUUGUGGUAGGUAACGCCUACCAAGGCAAUGAGUGGGUAGGCGGUGUGAGAGCACGACCCGCGUCACGUGGGACUGAGACACUGCCCAGACACCGUACGGGUGGCUGCAGUC
rnacentral:rRNA from 1 species